CUGUCAAAUUAACCCAGCUGCAAAAAUGGCAACAGCCUAAGUGUGGAAAGAAGGCAGCCUGAAAAUUGCCUGAAGAUGGCAGAGCCCUGCUGAACAAGGCCAGCUCUCGCAAGCACGUCACUUGCCUUUGAUUCUCACCCUCAGUGUGAGUCAGAUAAACAGCAGUGGGCAGAACUGUAACAAGGUUGAAUACAUCCUGGAUAAAAUAUCAAGGUGCUGACCCUUCUCAGGAGUAGAAUAUGCCAAUACUCUCUGGCUUUAAUAUAUGUGAUGGAGAGCAGUGUAAGUAUGUGCCAAGAGACAUGCUUGCGAGCAGGAAGAGCUGCGCUUCAUUACGUGGUGAUGUUUGUGUGUGUAGGGCUGCUGCUCACCACAUGCCAGAUCUCCUGAAAACAAUAGUGCAGCUUUGCCACUCUCUUUACAUGUUUGUGCUGUGAAGCUCUCUUCUCAUUCCUGGAGACCUGAGGCAGGUGUCUCCUGUGAGCCACUUCUGCAGUGGUCCUUCAUUAUGACCUCACCAGUGAAAUUAUCCUCUUAUUCCAUCUUAACCUUGCACUUGCUCAUUGACACAAAUUUCAGUCAACAAGUUUUUUAUUCACAGGAAUGAAUUCCUGGGAAGGUUGGAGCGUAGCAAAGAGAUGCCUGGUGAAUAGCUUUGGGAAUAAUAUUGGCCGGCAUCUCAAGAAACAUCAGCAAGUACCAAACUGUUCAGGCAAGAAGAGUCAGACAGGAACCCAUACCAAUAAUACUGCUGAGAGACCUUGAACCUUCACCUGACUUAAUUCUCAGUACUCUCUGCUGCAAAAUGGGCAUAAUUAUACUAAUCUGCUUUGCAAAACUGCAGUGUUUUCAUUAGCUAAUAAGCCUCAAGUGUUUGGAGGUAACUCUUGGCUCACAUAAAAGGAGAGAACGUAUAUAAAAAGAGAACACAAAGGCAAUAAAGAUCUCAGAAGAUCUCUUCAGAACGAGAAGUUGCUCUCAAAUUAAAUGGGUGAGGCUUGUUUACAAAGAUAUUGAUGGUAUGAAAGACUGACACCCAGUCUUCUCUUUGUGCCUCGCCGGAGCUCGUGCGGAUUCAGGAGCUCCAGGAUUCAGGAACAAGCCAGCAGGUGGCUGUAGAUGCCAGCAGCUGCCCUGACAUGGCAGCCGUUCACCCUGCCAGAGGAGACCCGGAGCAGGCUUACUGAAGUGGUUAACACCAGAUGUGAGUUAAGUGUCAUUGUUGACUCAUAUCCUGCAUCCAGUGAGCAGGCUGGGGGUACACAAGGAGUUGGGAGGGGACACAACUGACACAGCUGACCCCAACUGACCCAAGGGAUAUUCCAUACCAUGUGGCAUCAUGCUCAGCAUAUAGAGCUGGGGAGAGAAGAAAGAAGGGGAGGAUGUUUGGAAUGACUGCAUUUGUCUUCCCAAGUAAGCAUUACACAUGAUGCAGCACAGCUGGCCUGGAGAUGGCUGAACACUUCACUGCUGAUGGCAAGUAGAGAAUGAAUUCCUUGUGUUGCUUUGCUUGUGUGCAGGACUUUUGCUUUACCUAAUAAACUGCCUUUAUC